CCUACGGGAGGCAGCAGUGAGGAAUAUUGGUCAAUGGGCGAGAGCCUGAACCAGCCAAGUCGCGUGAGGGAGUACUGCCCUAUGGGUUGUAAACCUCUUUUGUCGGGGAGCAAAAGCCGGACGUGUCCGGCUGUGAGAGUACCCGAAGAAAAAGCAUCGGCUAACUCCGUGCCAGCAGCCGCGGUAAUACGGAGGAUGCGAGCGUUAUCCGGAUUUAUUGGGUUUAAAGGGUGCGCAGGCGGAUUUUUAAGUCAGCGGUAAAAUCGUGGGGCUCAACCCCAUCCAGCCGUUGAAACUGGGGAUCUAGAGUGUGCGAGAGGUAUGCGGAAUGCGUGGUGUAGCGGUGAAAUGCAUAGAGAUCACGCAGAACCCCGAUUGCGAAGGCAGCAUACCGGUGCACAACUGACGCUCAGGCACGAAAGCGUGGGUAUCGAACAGGAUUAGAUACCCCGGUAGUC
rnacentral:rRNA from 1 species